GUCUCAGCCGCCGCGGUAAUACGAAGGGACCUAGCGUAGUUCGGAAUUACUGGGCUUAAAGAGCACGUAGGUGGUUAAGAAAGUUGGUGGUGAAAUCCCAAGGCUCAACCUUGGAACUGCCACCAAAACUUUUUAACUAGAGUAUGAUUGAGGUAAGCGGAAUUUCUAGUGUAGAGGUGAAAUUCGUAGAUAUUAGAAAGAACACCAAUUGCGAAGGCAGCUUUCUGGAUCAUUACUGACACUGAGGUGCGAAAGCAUGGGUAGCGAAGAGGAUUAGAUACCCUCGUAGUCCAUGCCGUAAACGAUGUGUGCUAGACGUUGGGAAUUUAUUUUUCAGUGUCGCAGCAAAAGCGUUAAGCACACCGCCUGGGGAGUACGACCGCAAGGUUAAAACUCAAAUGAAUUGACGGGGACCCGCACAAGUAGUGGAGCAUGUGGUUUAAUUCGAAGAUACGCGCAGAACCUUACCAACACUUGACAUGUUCGUCGCGACUCUAAGAGAUUAGAGUUUUCGGUUCGGCCGGACGAAACACAGGUGCUGCAUGGCUGUCGUCAGCUCGU
rnacentral:rRNA from 1 species